rnacentral:lncRNA from 1 species
CGCGCACCCACCGAGCCCGCGCUCAGACGCCCCAGCUCCGCCGAGAGGCCGCUCGCGACAGGUCCUUCCUCUUCCCCAAGUGCAGGCAGAGCCCCCGGAGCCACUGCCAGCCCUUCCCGCAGCUCCGAAACCACUGGCAAGCCCCGAGGCAGGGAUGGCCCUCCCAGGAGGGAGGAGGACGACGUCCCUCCCGAGGAGAAGAGGCUGCGGCUGUUGCUGGAGGGGGGAAGCGCACAGCCCGGCGACUGCGAGGACGGGGAGGACGCGCCGCGGCCGGGCAGGGAGGAGACCGGCACCCAGACAGGUGGCGACGGCAGAGGAAAUGUGACACAGAACUCAAGGGACAGGAAGGAGAUGAGUUGGAGGCUGGGUCAGUGGUCCCUGCCAGUGAUGCUGGUGACUCACAUGACGAUGUUGAUGUGUAGAGUCCGGUGCCUGGUUUGGGGAAUGUUCGUGGGAUAUGUUCCAAAGGACUGAUGGACCUAUCAGGCACAGUGGCUCACACUUGUAAUCCCAGCACUUUGGCAGGUCGAGGCUGGAAGAUCACCUAAGGUCAGGAGUUCGAGACCAGCCUGGCCAACAUGGCGAAACUGUCUCUACUAAAAAUACAGAAAUUAGCCAGGUGUGAUGGCACACACCUCUAAUCCCAGCUACUUGGGAGGCUGCGGCAGGAGAAUCGUUUCAAACUGGGAGAGAGAGGUUGCAGUCAGCUGAGAUCGCACCACUGCACUUCAGCCAGCCUGGG